rnacentral:rRNA from 1 species
GGAAGUAAAAGUCGUAACAAGGAAUGCGGUCUGGAACCUCUCGGGGUUACAGCCUUGCUGAAUUAUUCACCCUUGUCUUUUGCGUACUUCUUGUUUCCUUGGUGGGUUCGCCCACCACUAGGACAAACAUAAACCUUUUGUAAUUGCAAUCAGCGUCAGUAACAAAUUAAUAAUUACAACUUUCAACAACGGAUCUCUUGGUUCUGGCAUCGAUGAAGAACGCAGCGAAAUGCGAUAAGUAGUGUGAAUUGCAGAAUUCAGUGAAUCAUCGAAUCUUUGAACGCACAUUGCGCCCUUUGGUAUUCCAAAGGGCAUGCCUGUUCGAGCGUCAUUUGUACCCUCAAGCUUUGCUUGGUGUUGGGCGUCUUGUCUCUAGCUUUGCUGGAGACUCGCCUUAAAGUAAUUGGCAGCCGGCCUACUGGUUUCGGAGCGCAGCACAAGUCGCACUCUCUAUCAGCAAAGGUCUAGCAUCCAUUAAGCCUUUUUUCCAACUUUUGACCUCGGAUCAGGUAGGGAUACCCGCUGAACUUAAGCAUAUCAAUAAGCGGAGGA